rnacentral:snoRNA from 1 species
AAGCUGUGACGAGGGCACUUUCUCAAUAAAUCUUUGAAUCUUUCCUAAGCUUCAUAUAAACUCUCUUGAUCAUGGUGGACAAAGGUCAUUAUCUCAUUGUGCAGUUU